rnacentral:rRNA from 1 species
GACGAACGCUGGCGGCGUGCUUAACACAUGCAAGUCGAACGGAAAGGCCCUGCUUUUGUGGGGUGCUCGAGUGGCGAACGGGUGAGUAACACGUGAGUAACCUGCCCUUGACUUUGGGAUAACUUCAGGAAACUGGGGCUAAUACCGGAUAGGAGCUCCUGCUGCAUGGUGGGGGUUGGAAAGUUUCGGCGGUUGGGGAUGGACUCGCGGCUUUCAGCUUGUUGGUGGGGUAGUGGCUUACCAAGGCUUUGACGGGUAGCCGGCCUGAGAGGGUGACCGGCCACAUUGGGACUGAGGUACGGCCCAGACUCCUACGGGAGGCAGCAGUGGGGAAUAUUGCACAAUGGGCGGAAGCCUGAUGCAGCAACGCCGCGUGCGGGAUGACGGCCUUCGGGUUGUAAACCGCUUUCGCCUGUGACGAAGCGUGAGUGACGGUAAUGGGUAAAGAAGCACCGGCUAACUACGUG